AGCUCAGGACCCCAGCCCAUGAGAUUCUGCCAUCCACAUUUGGAUUGAAUCCUCUCUCUUCAGUUAAAUCGUCCUGGAAACACUUUCAUAGACAUGCCCAGAGGAAGAAAGGUCAGAGCGCAGAGAUAUGGUCACAUCUCCCAUUUCAAACCAAACUGGUUCUGCAGAGGCUGCCUCAGCACCACCGUGGAACAUCACAGCCAUGGCAGGAGGAGGGCUCCUGAUGUCUCCAAAAGGAAGGAAAUCAUUACAGGGCCCUACAGAAGUAGGUCAUGUGCUACAGCUGCUCAUAGUUUGGGAGGAAGAAACAUCGGACCUCAAACCUGGAACACGACUCUUGCAAAAUGUUUGUGAGCAGCCCAAGAAAAACAUCCUCCCGAGCCUUAUCUAAUAAGCGUGAUCUCUAAUCGCCUCAGUGUGUGCCCGGCUUUCUUUAGGACUUUGCACCUACUUCCCAGGGUUUGGGAGAGGCUGGGGCAGGACACAGAGAGCCCUAAUGAAGGGGAUUUAAUAGUUUGUGUUAAAGCUAAUGUGGUCCAUUAGGAGCUGUCAUUUUUAUAAACAAUGAAGAUAUGUUACCCUCUUCUGGGGUGGAAAGCCAUUCCUCGCAAGACCUUGUAACGAUCUGUGGAACACGCAUGACCGACCA